CGCCGGCCUGGAAGGGGGUCUCGCCUCGCGGUGCCUCCGCAGGCGUCGGACCCUCCCGCUGGAAGGCCGCGCGGCCCGGUCUGGUCCGCCCGCGGGGCAGGCGCCGGACGCAACUUGGAGAGCACCAGAUGCACACCCGGCUGCCGCUUCUCCGGGAGCUGCACAUUCAUGAAUCUCGAAAGUUCCUGGCUGAGGGGAGAAAAAUCGCAAGGAUCAGUAUGUGGAGUUGGCGCCGCAGCGGACAGUUUCCCGGCUCCAGAUGUUCCACUCCACCUGAACGUCCCCCUUGGUCCCCACCCGCAGAGACCUCAGCUCCCGCCUAAACCAAGGGAGGCGCGGGACCGGCAGCCUCGAGGGCCCGGUCGGUUUUACUUCAGCCACGAGGGGAGAGACACGUGACAAGCCUCCGCGCCGCCACCCCCCCGCCCCCCCCACUCGCC